rnacentral:lncRNA from 10 species
CAGGUGUGCUCAGGCGAUCCCUCCCCUGGCAGGUAAGUGUCCCUCCUCUGUCUUCCUGGGAAACUGCACCUGGACUGAGCUUCGGGGAUAGGUUUCGACAGGGCCAAAAAACAGAAGAGCAGGAAAACAUUCCAGAUGGAGUUGACUCCCAUCAGAGCCCUCCUGGACAUGAACUCCUGAGUGCCAGAAACAAGAUUCAUUUAAAGAUACAACUGUGAACGCUGCUGACCACAUUCCAGCGCAGUGUGGAUGUUCAACACCGAAGGGAGGGGACUCGGGCUUGGAUCUGCAGCUAGCAUUGGAUGGACACAGAAUCCUGAACUAUGCAUCGUGCUUUAGCUGCCAUGAAAAUUGAUUUUUUUUUUUUUCAGAAAGGAAUGUGCCAAUGAUGGGACUUAAGCUGGUGAAAACCACGUGGAACGGGAUGCUCAUGGGACCUGCCCCUUGGAGCUCCAGGCCUCCAGGCCUCAGUGCUGGUUUUCCUAAGUCCUUAUUUUCUCCCGUGUUUGGCUGGGGGCUGGUCCGACUUCUCCCUUUGGUGGACUCUCAGUUGUCAAGUGUGAAGUCUUUGAACUGCACACAAGAGUGGGGACAACGUUUCUAUCUGCAAAUCAAGCAAGCGCUUGGGCGAACAUCUUCCCAAGGCAGAGAUGAAGAAUGGGUACUCUAGGAUGCUCCAUUUUGGGACAAACGUCUAGUGGGGCCACAUUUGCAUGGCAACAUGCCAUUUCCACUUUUUCCGUAUUUAGAAGCUUCCCAUGGAGCUCCCGCUGACAGGAGCCACUCAUGUGCACACUGAGUGGAGGCUCAGAAGGAGGAUUUGUCGUAGAGUUGUUUUUCAGAGGCUGGGAGUCAGGGCUGAGGGCCAGCGGGUGGCUCUGCACCCCCAUCCCUCCAUCCCCUGUGGAAUGCCAGGAGUUCUCUUCUCCGUCCCUCAUGCGUGAUGGGGGACAAAUGUCUCCUCACCGGUGACAAUAAUGACAGGCUUCUGUCCAGAGGCAGGAGGGGGGCCAGUAUCAUGCACUGAAGAAACUUUCACAGCACAGUUGUCUGAGACAGGGAAACCCACACGCAGACGGCCAGGGGACCUUGACCUCCUUAGCAAACAGGAAACAAAGUGCUCUUGUUCUCAGGCCGGAAUGAAGCGGCUGUGCGAACACAUCCCAAUUGUACAUCUGAUGCUGACUCACACAGAGCGUUUCCAUUUUUAGAUUUCAGCUACAGAAGGCAGGAAUCCUUUGGACUUGGCCCUUUAUCAGUGGAAUGGACAGAGCAGCUCUCGGUGGGGUCUCUGUUGGGAAUGCCUGCUGAGACGGGACCAAGGACGGCUGCAGGAUGUGGUGUCUGUGCUCAGCGUCACCUCCUCCCAGGCUCCUGGGAAGCACCUGAGCAUCUCCUGACAAAGCCACCAUGAGCAAGACCCUCAGAGAAGGUAUGAAGAUGAGAGGCUGGUGUGAAGAGGCUGCUGUGAAGCAACUAUAUAGCAUCGGGCAGGACAUAAGGGGAAAUUGUUGCUUUCAUGUUCCUUUACCCCCACAGUUUGGAUUUCUGCCACAAGGAUCACUGUGGUCUUCCUCCCUGGGGCUCACUCCACCUACCCCACACCUCCCACCUCCCCCGUCCUCUCUUGGGGGACUUCCUGAGUUCUCGACAGAGCAGUUUCACUGUCUUCUCUCCACGCUUCCUGGACUGGCCCGCCCAUUUUUUUCUAUGACCCAGAAUUCCUUCCCAAAUAAGAGCGUCAUAUUCCUUGAGCCCCUUCACUAGAAGCAAGGAGAUGGGCAGGCGUUGAACUGCGGCUUUUCUCUAGACUCUUCCCUAAUCCCUAGGUUCCCCCAACUAUUUAGUCUAGAGCAAGCCCAGGAACAGUGAUUUUUUUUUUUUAACCUGCCAUUUCUGUUAUUCAAGCUGUUUUAGUCAGUUCAGGCUGCUGUAACAAAAAUGCAAUGGCCUGGGUGGUUUUAACAACAGAAAUGGAUUUCUCACAGUUCUUGUGAGGCUGGGACGCAGGAACCCCCACAUCCAAGUGCCAGGCAGUUCCGUGGCUGGGAGGGCUCCAGACUGGUGUGUGGAUGGCACCUUCUGCUGUGUCCUCACAUGGCUGAGAGAUGGGUCAUCUCUGUUCUUAUCAGGGCACUAAUCCCAUUCACAAGGCCCCCCAUGACCUAAUCACCUCCUAAAUGCCCCGCUUCCUAAUACCAGCACCUUGGAAAAUAGGGCUUCAAGAUACAAAUUUUGGGGGACUCAAACAUUCCAUCCAUAGCACCCGCUCAUGUGCUGUGAUGUCCAGUGAGCAGGCGGAGUUCCAGGGCUGGUCAGUGCCAGGUGCUCCUUCUCCCACCCGAGAACAGGGGCCAGGUUGCUCCUCAGGCACCCUGGGCAACUGCCCCUUCCCUUCCAGUGGGGCCUGACCUGGCUACCGAGCUUGGCAGCUAAUAGGCGGGCCCCUCAGCAUUCACGCUCCUGAGCUGCUUUAUCAAACUAGGAUUGUUCCCCCAGGUCUAAGAAAACCAUCCAUUCACUGCAAAGUUAUUUAUUACUGCGGAUGGGCUAGGAGUUAGAGGAAGAGAGUGACUCAAAUCACAACACCUCCUGGACGAAGCUGGAAGGGAUUAAAAUACGGCCUAAUUUCUCCCUUGCUGUGUGAAGCGUGUGGUUCUCCUAGAACAUCAGCCCGACUGUCGCUGGGUAGCGGCGGUACUGUUCAUUCUGCAUUAGCUUUGUCCAGAUUGUUCAGUGUGGGUCCCUGCCUACAGAUCUUGAUUCCUUGAGAUUGCCCUUUGUGCUUCUGUCUGGGGACUGCCUGUUUCUGUAAUGGCCACCGUCUCAGAACACAUGGUUGUAGGCCUCAGCAUUUGCCUUACACACAGCCCCCUUGGAGACAAACCGUGUCUGUGUCCCUCAGAAGGCCCUGACUUUCAGGGCACACUCCAGCCUGACUUUGGCACUCUGCUAGACACAUCCGAAACGCUGGUUCUCGUGUUGAAGUCUGUUAUGGAUAUGUAGGGUAAGGCAGGGAAACUGGAGCGCCUGCAUACCCUUGACUUCCUCCAUUUGGAAAAGAUAACCCUGAGACAUGGUGGAGGAGAAGGGGCCCUGACCUGUCAGCUACAUCUGGAUGUAACUCCCCUGAUGAAGAAAGUGCCAGAGGCAGCAAAGCAGCCCUUAUAGGGUAUUUUGUGCUCCCCCAACAGAGGAAGAGGAGCUUAGGGUCUCCAGGGAGAAUGUCUGGUUGUGAAGAGCCGCCAGGACCUGGAGCUGCACGGUUGCUCAGUGUGCAUUUCACUUGGUCAGCCCCUACGCUGGAGAGUGCUUGCAUCCGAACCUUCAGUGCCUGGAUAGACACUGAGCUGAGCGAACGGUAUGCUGGAAAAUGAAGCGUGCAAGUGACAAAGUGCUCAACUUAGACUCUGGGCAAAAUUCUCACAAAGGGCUUUCUAAUCCUCACUUAAUGGAAGAGUGGAGCAAUUUCCAGCAGAAGUUGUGGCUUGCUUCACCAGGUCUGCUCAGCCGGAGUGGGAGGUGACCCCAGGGGCCCAAGCUGGGGGCGUGGCUGGGAAAUGCACAGAAAGAGACUUCGACGGGGGUGGCUAUGGUUUGUGCUGUGCUGUGCACACGUCUGGCUGAUAGAAAUCUAUGUCUAUAAACAGGUAACACAAUUUGGUUUAUCAAACCCAUAAUAAGCAGAUUUUCUGACUUGCAUAAGAAUUUCUCUGUAAUCUUUGCUUUAAAGUCCGUUGAAUGCCAUAGAAAAAGUUGCAUUUGAUGAGGCUUCAGGAAAGAAAAGGUAACAAACUAUUCUAAGAGAUGAGGAUAGUGCCUGAGUGGGGCCCAGGACAGACAGGGGGUCCUCACCUCUUGCUGCUGGGGUUGGCUGCAGGGCUUUGCCUCAGUCUGAUUUUUUGCAGCAUCUACACAGUUUAAAUACUUGGAAAAAUCCUCUUUGUGAGUGUAUUAAGUCACAGCCUACCAAUGUGACAAAUGACAUCUAAAUGCAAUUUACAAAUCCUAAGUUCCAGGUAGAAGAGAACGUGGUAGGUCCACGUCUUCAUUUUCCCAUACCUUUAGUCCGUCGAGACUCCGCUUAGCCAGCUCUGGCCAUCCCUUUAUCCUCCUAGGAACAGAAUCUUACAUGCAGUAUUUUUACUGGUACGUAAAAAAUUUAAGGCUGCACUAAGCAGGCGCCCAGGCCCCCAGAGUCAGAAGGGAGUGUACGGUGCACACAUGAUGACGAUUUGAAAAGAGCCUGGCUUCAGGGCCUUGCAGAUGAAGCUAACAAACCCCCUGUUCGGGAGGGAGCACCUGCACCCCAGCCCCCUCCCUCAGGGAUGCAUCUGCAGCCACUCCGGGGCAGGGCUGAUGCCUCUGUGAUGGUCCCGAUGGUCCCGCCCGCAGCCUGCUCUUUGUGGCUCUUUGUUGCUCUUUGUCACAGUCCUGCUCAACAGCUGGUGCUUGCAGGAAGAAGCUCUCUGGCUGCAAGAAAGCCAGGGUGUGGGUGGAUGACAGAAUAAAUGGGAGGGAUGGAGGGCGUCUACUUGGCAGUUCGGAUUCCUG